AACGAACGCUGGCGGCAUGCCUAACACAUGCAAGUCGAACGAGACCUUCGGGUCUAGUGGCGCACGGGUGCGUAACGCGUGGGAAUCUGCCCUUGGGUUCGGAAUAACAGUUAGAAAUGACUGCUAAUACCGGAUGAUGACGUAAGUCCAAAGAUUUAUCGCCCAAGGAUGAGCCCGCGUAGGGUUAGCUAGUUGGUAAGGUAAAGGCUUACCAAGGCGACGAUCCUUAGCUGGUCUGAGAGGAUGAUCAGCCACACUGGGACUGAGACACGGCCCAGACUCCUACGGGAGGCAGCAGUGGGGAAUAUUGGACAAUGGGCGAAAGCCUGAUCCAGCAAUGCCGCGUGAGUGAUGAAGGCCUUAGGGUUGUAAAGCUCUUUUACCAGGGAUGAUAAUGACAGUACCUGGAGAAUAAGCUCCGGCUAACUCCGUGCCAGCAGCCGCGGUAACAC
rnacentral:rRNA from 1 species